rnacentral:lncRNA from 1 species
CGCAUGCGCAAAACCGUGCCCAAAGCCCCGCGUGCGCGUUGUGAGAACUUGAGCCGGUUUUUGAGAGGAGGACCUAGACCGAAGCCACCGUGAGAAAUACAGAAGAUGGACAGUUGCUGUUAAAAAUUUGCCCUCCGGCCUCUUCACGAUGGCCCACCCUGCACUGUAAGUGCUUAGAAACACGGAGGAGGGACGAAGCACUCAGCAGAGUCUAUAUGUCAGCCCCUCAACCAGGGCUGCCACCGUUAUCACAGGAACAGGGUCGGGAGACGAGGCUCCGCAGCGAGGACGCGGAGACUUCACUCACCUGACUCAUGCAGUAGCUGCAGUUUGCUCAAUCUCCCACACAGUCUGUGUGAUGUCUGAGACUGGCAAAUUAAAGUGAAGAGAUUGACCCACGGGGAAACGGCCAUGGGGGAGACUGGGACCGUGAGGAGAUGGCCACGGGACACAGUCUGUCUUCCUUCUGUUGGAAGGAGAUUUUUAAA